AGCGAACGCUGGCGGCAGGCUUAACACAUGCAAGUCGAGCGGGCAUCUUCGGAUGUCAGCGGCAGACGGGUGAGUAACCCGUGGGAACGUACCCUUCGGUUCGGAACAACUCUGGGAAACUGGAGCUAAUACCGGAUACGCACUUCUGGGGAAAGGUGUACGGCCAAAGGAUCGGCCCGCGUCUGAUUAGCUAGUUGGUAGGGCACCCGCCUACUCAGGCGACGAUCAGUAGCUGGUCUGACGGGAGGAUCAGCCGCACUUGGACUGAGGCACGGCCCAGACUCCUAGGGAGGGGAGCGGUGGGGAGUAUUGGACGAUGAGCGCAAGCCUGAUCCAGCCGUGCGGCGGAAGUGAGGAAUGGCUUAGGGUUGUAAAGCUGUUUGGGCCGGGGCGAUAAUGACGGUACCGGAAGAAGAAGCCCCGGCUAACUUCGUG
rnacentral:rRNA from 1 species